rnacentral:rRNA from 1 species
UACAGAGGUCCCGAGCGUUGUUCGGAUUUAUUGGGCGUAAAGGGUGCGUAGGUGGCAAAGUAAGUUGGAUGUGAAAUCCUGGGGCUCAACCUCAGAAUUGCAUUCAAUACUGCUUAGCUAGAGAGCUGUAGAGGAGACUGGAAUUUACGGUGUAGCAGUGAAAUGCGUAGAUAUCAGGAGGAACACCGAUGGCGAAGGCAGGUCUCUGGGCUGACACUGACGCUCAUGCACGAAAGCGUGGGGAGCAAACAGG